UACGUAGGUGGCAAGCGUUGUCCGGAUUUACUGGGCGUAAAGAGCGCGCAGGCGGUCGUCCAAGUCGCGUGUGAAAGCCCCCGGCUCAACUGGGGAGGGUCACGCGAUACUGGUCGACUCGAAGGCAGGAGAGGGUAGUGGAAUUCCCGGUGUAGUGGUGAAAUGCGUAGAUAUCAGGAGGAACACCGGUGGCGAAGGCGGCCCUCUGGACGGUGACUGACGCUGAGACGCGAAAGCGUGGGGAGCAAACAGG
rnacentral:rRNA from 1 species